AUAACACUUACACAAAGACCAAAAUCGAAGCCGCCCCCAACGCUCUGUUUAGCCCCCAUCGUUGCCAUCGAAGCGGUGAACUCCAAAAGGCGAAAGCCCAUCAAAGUCGAGACCUUCAACCAUAGACCAUUCGACAGUAAGCCCUCAAUUUUUUGUCGGCGCCGAUUCUCUUCUUAGUAUCAUUUGUCGGCGUCGAUUCUGACAGUAAGCCCUCAAUUUUCUUUUAAAUGUUUGUUUCUUCUCCACUGUUUUUAGUUUUUAUCACUGCUACCAUUUUUUUCUCGUACAAACAUUAUAACAAAAGAAAGAGCAGUAGAAAAAGAAGUAAAUUUUAUAGUAGAAUUAAUUAACAUUACAAAUGAACAAUUUUUUCCCUGUAGGUUGAAGAAGGAAAAGAUAUUUAAUUUAAAUGUAAAACCCUCUCUAUCUUUAGCUUCGCAAAUUUUAGAUUUUAUUUUUUUCACACUGCUAUCUACUAAGCCCUAUUUUAUCAUCAUUGGAAGUUGAAAAACUUGAUUCCAGAGGCAAAGCUAAUGAAGAAACUAAGAAUUCAUUCGCCUACAGGCUACAGUUCUUGUUAUUUCGAAUUUAAUGUUAUAUAUGAACUCUUUAUUGUAGAGAAAAUGUUGACUCUUGAUUCGGUUUGUUAAACUCAUUAGUUAGGAAAUUAGUUAGUGAGUUAGAAAGUUAGUUAGGAGCCUUAGAUUCUAAAUAAUUGUCUGGUAAUAGUUGUAACUGGAUCUUGCAUACACUUCUUGUAAAUCUCUGUGACCUUUUCCUAUAAAUGUGAUCGAGGUUGAGAACGUGAAAGUGUGAGCAAGAGAAUGUGGAGAAUCACAUUCUGUGAGUGAGCAAGAGAGAUGAUAUUCUUUAGCAAGAGAAAGUGAGAUGGUGAGAGAAAAUCUCUGUAACACCAUCUUCUGUAACUUUCUAUGAGAGCUUACUAGUAAGGUUUUCUGGUUCUUCCCGGUUGAGUGGUGAGUGGUGGUGUUUUGUGUAAGAUACACACUAUGUAAUUUCCUCUUUUAAUGGCAAAUUGACUGGGGUUAAAUCCCUGCAAUGGUUGAUGAAAUUUUGUCCCAAAAACUUGAAGUUCUUGUGUCCAUUAAUCUCAAUUCUUUCCUGGUUUUAUGUUUC
rnacentral:lncRNA from 1 species